rnacentral:rRNA from 1 species
UGACGGUACCUGACUAAGAAGCCCCGGCUAACUACGUGCCAGCAGCCGCGGUAAUACGUAGGGGGCAAGCGUUAUCCGGAUUUACUGGGUGUAAAGGGAGCGUAGACGGAAUAGCAAGUCUGAAGUGAAAUGUAGGGGCUCAACCCCUGAACUGCUUUGGAAACUGUUGAUCUUGAGUACCGGAGGGGCAAGCGGAAUUCCUGGUGUAGCGGUGAAAUGCGUAGAUAUCAGGAAGAACACCGGUGGCGAAGGCGGCUUGCUGGACGGUAACUGACGUUGAGGCUCGAAAGCGUGGGGAGCAAACAGGAUUAGAUACCCUG